AUGCCUGUCCCGGAGGAAGAGGAGACGCUCCUGCCGCUCGCGCAGAGAUGGCCCCGAGCGAGCAAGUUCCUACUGUCCGGCUGCGCUGCCACCGUGGCCGAGCUAGCCUCUGUCAAGGCCCCUUCGAUCUACCGCUUGAAGCCUUGCACCAGAGGCACUGGCCCUUUGACACUGGGGUGCCUGGUCAAGGACUACUUCCCAGACCCCAUGACGGUGACCUGGUAUACAACCGCCUUGAACACGAGCACCAUGAACUUCCCUGCCAAAACCCUCAGCUCAGAACUCUCAGUCGCCGCCAGCAGUAUCACCACCUGGGGCCCGUUGGCCAAGGACAACUUCACGUGCCACGUGGUACAUGCCCCGUCCUUGACCUCCGAGAAUAGAACCAUCCCAGCGUUACCUGUAACCCGGCCCACCGUGAAGCUGUUGCACUCAUCCUGCGACCCCAGUGCCUUCCACUCCACCAUCCAGCUCUACUGCUUCGUUUACGGCCACAUCGCUGAUGAUGUCAGGAUCACCUGGCUGAAGAACGAUGAGAAGAUGCCCGACACAUUCCCACGUGAGUUCACACUCAAGAAGGAGGGCAAGCUAGCCUCCACCUACAGUGAGCUCAACAUCACCCAUCAGCAGUGGGCAUCUGAGAGCACCUUCUCCUGCAAGGUCACCUCUCAAGAGGUGACCUACUGGGCCCAUGCCCAUCAGUGUGCAGAUUAUGAGCCACGUGGCGUGAGUACCUACCUGAUCCCGCCCAGCCCCCUGGACCUGUAUGUACACAAGACACCCAAGCUCACCUGUCUGGUGGUGGACCUGGAAAGCGCAGACCGGGUCAGUGUGAGCUGGACCCAAGAGGAUAAAAAAUCUGCAACCUCAGAACCCCAGCAUGUCACCAAGCACCACAACGCCACAACCAGCAUCACCUCCACCCUGCCAGUGGAUACCAAGGACUGGAGUGAAGGCAAAGGCUAUCGGUGCAUAGUGAACCACCCUGACCUGCCCAAGCCCAUUGUGCGUGCCAUCACCAAGGCGCCAGGCAAACGCUCACCUCCUGAGGUCUACAUGUUCCUGGGGCCAGAGGUGGAGAACAAGAGCCAUCGUACGCUCACCUGCCUGAUCGAGAACUUCUUCCCCGCUGACAUCUCAGUGCAGUGGCUUCGGGAUGGCGAACCAAUCCAGAACGCCCAGUACAGCACCACGGCACCCCUGAAGGCCAACGGCGCCGAUCCUGCCUUCUUCAUCUUUAGCCGUCUGGAGGUCACCAAGGUGAACUGGGAGCAGAAUAACAAAUUCACCUGCCGCGUGAUCCAUGAGGCCCUGCAGGAACCUAAGACCUUGGAGAAAACUAUGUCCAAGAGCCUUGAGCUAGACCUCCAGGAACUGUGUACGGAGGAAGCCGAGAGCCAGGAGCUGGAAGGGCUGUGGACCAGCACCUACAUCUUCAUCACCCUGUUCCUGCUCAGCGUGAGCUACGGGGCUGCCGUCACCCUCAUCAAGGUCAAGUGGGUCUUCUUGGCACUGACGCAGGGCACACCCCAGACCCUCCAUGACUACGCCAACAUUCUCCAGCCCAGGGCCUAG